rnacentral:rRNA from 1 species
AACUUUGCAAUGUGCGAAAGCACGACAAGGUUAAUCCGAGUGGUUUCUGCUAAAGAAACCUUUUGCUAGUCCUAGAAACACUAGUGAAUAAGGGGUGGGCAAGUUCUGGUGUCAGCCGCCGCGGUAAAACCAGCACCUCAAGUGGUCAGGAUGAUUAUUGKGCCUAAAGCAUCCGUAGCUCGUUUUGUAAGUUUUCGGUUAWAUCCAUACKCUUAACGUAUGGGCUGCCGGGAAUACUKCAUAACUAGGAAGUGGGAGAGGUAGACGGUACUCGGUAGGAAGGGGUAAAAUCCUUUGAUCUAUUGAUGACCACCUGUGGCGAAGGCGGUCUACCAGAACACGUUCGACGGUGAGGGAUGAAAGCUGGGGGAGCAAACCGGAUUAGAUACCCGGGUAGUCCCAGCUGUAAACUAUGCAAACUCAGUKAUGCAUUGGCUUGUGSCCAAUGCAGUGCUGCAGGGAAGCCGUUAAGUUUGCCGCCUGGGAAGUACGUACGCAAGUAUGAAACUUAA